AUCCUGGCUCAGAUUGAACGCUGGCGGCAGGCCUAACACAUGCAAGUCGAGCGGUAGCACAGAGAGCUUGCUCUCGGGUGACGAGCGGCGGACGGGUGAGUAAUGUCUGGGAAACUGCCUGAUGGAGGGGGAUAACUACUGGAAACGGUAGCUAAUACCGCAUAACGUCGCAAGACCAAAGUGGGGGACCUUCGGGCCUCAUGCCAUCAGAUGUGCCCAGAUGGGAUUAGCUAGUAGGUGGGGUAACGGCUCACCUAGGCGACGAUCCCUAGCUGGUCUGAGAGGAUGACCAGCCACACUGGAACUGAGACACGGUCCAGACUCCUACGGGAGGCAGCAGUGGGGAAUAUUGCACAAUGGGCGCAAGCCUGAUGCAGCCAUGCCGCGUGUGUGAAGAAGGCCUUCGGGUUGUAAAGCACUUUCAGCGGGGAGGAAGGCGAUGAGGUUAAUAACCUCGUCGAUUGACGUUACCCGCAGAAGAAGCACCGGCUAACUCCGUGCCAGCAGCCGCGGUAAUACGGAGGGUGCAAGCGUUAAUCGGAAUUACUGGGCGUAAAGCGCACGCAGGCGGUCUGUCAAGUCGGAUGUGAAAUCCCCGGGCUCAACCUGGGAACUGCAUUCGAAACUGGCAGGCUAGAGUCUUGUAGAGGGGGGUAGAAUUCCAGGUGUAGCGGUGAAAUGCGUAGAGAUCUGGAGGAAUACCGGUGGCGAAGGCGGCCCCCUGGACAAAGACUGACGCUCAGGUGCGAAAGCGUGGGGAGCAAACAGGAUUAGAUACCCUGGUAGUCCACGCCGUAAACGAUGUCGAUUUGGAGGUUGUGCCCUUGAGGCGUGGCUUCC
rnacentral:rRNA from 1 species